UACGAGGGGGCGAGCGUUGUUCGGAAUUAUUGGGCGUAAAGGGUGCGUAGGCGGUUUGGUAAGUCUUGUGUGAAAUCUACAGGCUCAACUUGUAGUCUGCACGAGAAACUGCCGGGCUUGAGUAUGGGAGAGGUGAGUGGAAUUCCUGGUGUAGCGGUGAAAUGCGUAGAUAUCAGGAGGAACACCGAUGGCGAAGGCAGGUCUCUGGGCCAUUACUGACACUGAGGAGCGAAAGCGUGGGAGCGAACAGG
rnacentral:rRNA from 1 species